rnacentral:rRNA from 1 species
UACGUAGGGUCCGAGCGUUGUCCGGAUUUAUUGGGCGUAAAGAGCUCGUAGGCGGUUCCGUAAGUCAGAUGUGAAAACUCAGGGCUCAACCCGGAGACGCCAUCUAAUACUGCGGUGACUGGAGUCUGGUAGGGGAACACGGAAUUCCUGGUGUAGCGGUGAAAUGCGCAGAUAUCAGGAGGAACACCGAUGGCGAAGGCAGUGUUCUGGGCCAGUACUGACGCUGAGGAGCGAAAGCGUGGGGAGCGAACAGG